rnacentral:misc_RNA from 1 species
GAUGAAGAACGUAGCGAAAUGCGAUAACUAAUGUGAAUUGCAGAAUUCAGUGAAUCAUCGAAUCUUUGAACGCACAUUGCACCUCUCGGUAUUCCGGGAGGUAUGCCUGUUCGAGCGUCAUUUGUACCCUCAAGCUCUGCUUGGUGUUGGGUGUUUGUUCCGCCUCUGUGUGUGAACUCGCCUCAAAACAAUUGGCAGCCGGCGUACUUGUUUCGGAGCGCAGCACAUUUUGCGAUCCAGAUCAACGUACAGCGGCAUCCAAGAAGCCUUAUUUAACGCUCUUGACCUCGGAUCAGGUAGGGAUACCCGCUGAACUUAAGCAUAUCAAUAAGCGGAGGA